AUAACAAUAUGGACCUCUCUAACGAUGGUCCAUAAUUGGAAUGAGUUGAGCAUAAAUCCUUCUACAAGGAUCCAGUGGAGGGCAAGUCUGGUGCCAGCAGCCGCGGUAAUUCCAGCUCCAC
rnacentral:ncRNA from 1 species